rnacentral:rRNA from 1 species
UGAAUACGAGAUGCUACGGCGUCGAAGCAGUCUAUGUCAUACUUCCAAGAAAAGCUUGCACUGUCAUAAACAAAUAAUGCCUGUACCAUAACCGACACAGGUGGGUAGGUAGAGUAUACUAAGGGGCGCGAGAUAACUCUCUCUAAGGAACUCGGCAAAAUGACUCCGUAACUUCGGGAGAAGGAGUGCCUUAUUUAUAAGGUUGCAAUAACAAGAUCCAAGCAACUGUUUACCAAAAACACAGGUCUCCGCUAAGUCGUAAGACGAUGUAUGGGGGCUGACGCCUGCCCAGUGCCAGAAGGUUAAAGAAGUUGGUUAGCAUCCGCGAAGCUGAUAACUGAAGCCCUGGUGAACGGCGGCCGUAACAAUAACGGUCCUAAGGUAGCGAAAUUCCUUGUCGGGUAAGUUCCGACCCGCACGAAAGGCGUAAUGAUUUGGAUACUGUCUCGGAGAGGGGCUCGGUGAAAUAGACUUGUCUGUGAAGAUGCGGACUACCUGCACCAGGACAGAAAGACCCUAUGAAGCUUUACUGUAACCUGAAAUUGAAAUUGGACUUUACUUGCGCAGUAUAGGUGGGAGGCGUUGAGAAUAUUCUUGCGGGAUUAUUGGAGCCAUCAGUGAGAUACCACUCUUGUAAUGUUAGAUUUCUAACUUUGUAUCAUUAUCUGGUCAAAGAACAGUUUCAGGCGGGCAGUUUGACUGGGGCGGUCGCCUCCUAAACGGUAACGGAGGCGCACAAAGGUUUCCUCUGAACGGGUAGAAAUCGUAUCUAGAGUGUAAAGGCAUAAGGAAGCUUGACUGUGAGACCUACAAGUCGAGCAGGGACGAAAGUCGGUCUUAGUGAUCUGACGGUGCUGAGUGGAAAGGCCGUCACUCAACGGAUAAAAGUUACUCUAAGGAUAACAGGCUGAUCUCCCCCAAGAGUUCACAUCGACGGGGAGUUUUGGCACCUCGAUGUCGGCUCAUCGCAUCCUGGGGCGGUAGUACGUCCCAAGGGUUGGGCUGUUCGCCCAUGAAAGCGGUACGCGAGCUGGGUUCAGAACGUCGUGAGACAGUUCGGUCCAUAUCCGGUGUAGGCGUUAGAAUAUUGAGAGGAGCCUUCUUUAGUACGAGAGGACCGAGAAGGACAUACCUCUGGUGUACCAGUUAUCGUGCCAACGGUAAACGCUGGGUAGCUAUGUGUGGAGUGGAUAACCGCUGAAAGCAUCUAAGUGGGAAGCCCACCUCAAGAUAAGUAUUCUCA